UACGAAGGGUGCUAGCGUUGUUCGGAAUCACUGGGCGUAAAGCGCGCGUAGGCGGCGUAACAAGUCAGAGGUGAGAGCCUGGAGCUCAACUCCAGAAUUGCCUUUGAAACUGUUAUGCUAGAGUGUCGGAGGGGAUAGCGGAAUUGCUAAUGUAGAGGUGAAAUUCGUAGAUAUUAGCAGGAACACCGGUGGCGAAGGCGGCUAUCUGGACGACAACUGACGCUGAGGCGCGAAAGCGUGGGGAUCAAACAGG
rnacentral:rRNA from 1 species